CUGUGGAGGCGGCUCCAAUUCUGAAAGAGUGCCCCGAGUAGCUACCAGGGUUUAGACCAAGUCUGGUGAUAAGCAUCCGGACGUAAAGCAUGAAUUUUGCCGUGGUGAGAAUGGUAUCGUGUAACAACAGUAGGGGUCUUGAGGGGUGUGUAGGUUUCGUGGCUAAGAAAGCGUCCAGCGCUUUUACCGGGCACCAAUUGUUACCAGUGGGGUAGUAGUUUAUGUGAACUGGUUCCCCC